UCUCUCUCUGCACACGAGCCACUUCACGCUGAACCACUCGCGAGAAAUCAUCUGCGGCUUUACAGCUAUCCAGAUCCUUUGUUUCGAAAAAUUGCCCUUUCACUCAAAAGGAAACAUACGAGGAAAUAAACAAUUGUUUAUUUCACAGCUUUUUGUGUUAGGAGUUCAAAAUUGUCUCCGUUUUCAACUUGUUCGAGGCGCGUAUCGUGUGAUUUAACGUUACCUAACGGUUUUCCUCAAAGAUUCUUACUGUUGGAUCAGGUCAUUUUGACGGUUUGAUCAUGAAGCAGGAAACCAGCCCACGGCGUGAGCGUGUGAAGUCCAUCUUUGAUCAGGAAGCUCCAUCGGGUCGCAGCUCCUCCCGCUCCAGCGUCAGCAGCGACAGUGACAGCUCGUACUCCAGCAGCAGAGGAAGCCGUUCCUCUCGCAGGUCACGGAGCUCAUCCUCCGACAGUGACUCUUCCUCACGCUCACGUUCUCGUUCCCGCUCCCGUUCCCGCUCUCAUCCGCGCUGCUCGGGCCGCUCGCGCUGCCGCCACACACACCAUUCUCCUCCUCGCCGCUACCGUGCUCGCUCUCGCUCAUACAGCCCUACUCCCCGGGGUUCCUACCGCAGACGCUACCAUCGCCGCAGUCCUUCUCCAUCUCCCUACGGCUACUCCAGACGCUCCAGGCGUUCCCGGUCCCACUCUCGCAGCCGUUCUCCAGUCUACUGGAGGGGAAGUAGGUUUGUGGGGCGGUACAGGUGCCGUUUCUCCCGCUCACCCAUUAACCCCAGAGCAAACAGAAGCCGGUCUCGCAGCCGUGAGCGCUCUUCCAUCCGCCUUAGCCUGGAGGAGAAGAAGUAUCUGUUGGAUGUCGCCAAAGCAAAUGCUGCCAGGAUUCUGGGAGUGCAGAACUUAGAGCUGCCAGCAAGUCUGAAGGAGGAGGAGAAGAGGAGAUCUUCAUCUGAUAAAGAGGAAAGGUUGAGGACUGACCUGGCACAGGUGAGCCUUACACACAUGACUGCAGACGUGUGACUUAACACACACACAGAAUUCUGUAAUGUUGCAUGAACGUCCUAAACGGCAUUCCAGCAAAUUUCUCCAGUAAGAUUCUCAUCUGUACUUUGUUAAAUCUGAUCUCGGGACGUUGAGUAACCCAUUGAAACGCGUCUUUUUAAACUGUGAUUGCGCGCUGUACUUACCCAACCUGGGUCACCAUGUAAUCUGUCUCCUCAGACAUGAAUGAUUUUGCCUGAUGGAUUUAAUGGAAUGAUGAACCGCUCAUGUCCGGAUUAGAGCUGAAACUCCUCCACCCUUUGGACAAUGAGGGAUAGAGGGGGAGGUCACAUGACUUGAAUGACACCAGCUUUAAGUCUUUAAUGCACGACUGCGGAGGUUAAGUAACUGUGUAUGAUGUCAGCGGUAGCCUUGUGUUGAACGAAAACAAGACCACAUGCAUUAGAUUGACCUCACAUAGAGCUGAGCCACUUUCAGCCACAACACAUCUACAAAAAGUUUGUGGUCAGUAGAAUGUUUUUUUUUCUUCUUUGAAGAAAUUAAUACUUUUAGGAUGGAUGCAUUAAAUUGAUCAGUAGUGACAGUAAAGACAUUUAUAAUGUUACAAAAGAUUUCUAGCUCAAGUAAUUGGUGUUCUUUUGAACGUUCUAAUUCAUCAAAGAAU